UAGGGAACCUUCCACAAUGGACGCAAGUCUGAUGGAGCAACGCCGCGUGAGUGAAGAAGGUUUUCGGACCGUAAAGCUCUGUUGUUGGUGAAGAAGGAUAGAGGUAGUAACUGGCCUUUAUUUGACGGUAAUCAACCAGAAAGUCACGGCUAACUACGUGCCAGCAGCCGCGGUAAUCGUAGGUGGCAAGCGUUGUCCGGAUUUAUUGGGCGUAAAGCGAGCGCAGGCGGAAGAAUAAGUCUGAUGUGAAAGCCCUCGGCUUAACCGAGGAAUUGCAUCGGAAACUGUUUUUCUUGAGUGCAGAAGAGGAGAGUAGAACUCCAUGUGUAGCGGUGGAAUGCGUAGAUAUAUGGAAGAAUACCAGUGGCGAAGGCGGCUCUCUGGUCUGCAACUGACGCUGAGGCUCGAAAGCAUGGGUAGCGAACAGGAUUAGAUACCCUGGUAGUCCAUGCCGUAAACGAUGAGUGCUAAGUGUUGG
rnacentral:rRNA from 1 species